rnacentral:rRNA from 1 species
AUUGAACGCUGGCGGCAGGCUUAACACACGCAAGUCGAGCGGGGUGAUGGUGCUUGCACUAUCACUUAGCGGCGGACGGGUGAGUAAUGCUUAGGAAUCUGCCUAUUAGUGGGGGACAACAUCUCGAAAGGGAUGCUAAUACCGCAUACGUCCUACGGGAGAAAGCAGGGGAUCACUUGUGACCUUGCGCUAAUAGAUGAGCCUAGGUCGGAUUAGCUAGUUGGUGGGGUAAAGGCCUACCAAGGCGACGAUCUGUAGCGGGUCUGAGAGGAUGAUCCGCCACACUGGGACUGAGACACGGCCCAGACUCCUACGGGAGGCAGCAGUGGGGAAGAUUGGACAAUGGGGGGAACCCUGAUCCAGCCAUGCCGCGUGUGUGAAGAAGGCCUUAAGGUUGUAAAGCACUUUAAGCGAGGAGGAGGCUCUUUUGGUUAAUACCCAAGAUGAGUGGGCGUUACUCGCAGAAUAAGCACCGGCCAACUCUGUGCCAGCAGCCGCAGUAA